rnacentral:rRNA from 1 species
GAUGAACGCUGGCGGCGUGCCUAAUACAUGCAAGUCGAGCGAACGGACGAGAAGCUUGCUUCUCUGAUGUUAGCGGCGGACGGGUGAGUAACACGUGGAUAACCUACCUAUAAGACUGGGAUAACUUCGGGAAACCGGAGCUAAUACCGGAUGAUAUUUUGAACCGCAUGGUUCAAAAGUGAAAGACGGUCUUGCUGUCACUUAUAGAUGGAUCCGCGCUGCAUUAGCUAGUUGGUAAGGUAACGGCUUACCAAGGCAACGAUGCAUAGCCGACCUGAGAGGGUGAUCGGCCACACUGGAACUGAGACACGGUCCAGACUCCUACGGGAGGCAGCAGUAGGGAAUCUUCCGCAAUGGGCGAAAGCCUGACGGAGCAACGCCGCGUGAGUGAUGAAGGUCUUCGGAUCGUAAAACUCUGUUAUUGGGGAAGAACAUAUGUGUAAGUAACUGUGCACAUCUGGACGGUACCUAAUCAGAAAGCCACGGCUAACUACGU